rnacentral:rRNA from 1 species
GCUCGUAGGCGGCUUGUCACGUCGGAUGUGAAAGCCCGAGGCUUAACCUCGGGUCUGCAUUCGAUACGGGCUAGCUAGAGUGUGGUAGGGGAGAUCGGAAUUCCUGGUGUAGCGGUGAAAUGCGCAGAUAUCAGGAGGAACACCGGUGGCGAAGGCGGAUCUCUGGGCCAUUACUGACGCUGAGGAGCGAAAGCGUGGGGAGCGAACAGGAUUAGAUACCCUGGUAGUCCACGCCGUAAACGUUGGGAACUAGGUGUUGGCGACAUUCCACGUCGUCGGUGCCGCAGCUAACGCAUUAAGUUCCCCGCCUGGGGAGUACGGCCGCAAGGCUAAAACUCAAGAAAAAUUUGACGGA